rnacentral:rRNA from 1 species
CAAAAGUUUGGUCCUGGCUUUUCUGUCAACUCUAGCUAGAUUUACACAUGCAAGUAUCCGCCCUCCUGUGAGAAUGCCCACCCAGUUUUAUGAUCUAAAACAAGGAGCUGGUAUCAGGCACACCCUAUUAGCCCACGACGCCUUGCUAAGCCACACCCCCACGGGAACCCAGCAGUGAUAAACAUUACAGCAAUAAGUGAAAACUUGACUUAGUUUAUAGCUACAGA